rnacentral:rRNA from 1 species
GAUGAACGCUGGCGGCGUGCCUAAUACAUGCAAGUCGAGCGAACGGACGAGAAGCUUGCUUUUCUGAUGUUAGCGGCGGACGGGUGAGUAACACGUGGAUAACCUACCUAUAAGACUGGGAUAACUUCGGGAAACCGGAGCUAAUACCGGAUAAUAUUUUGAACCGCAUGGUUCAAAAGUGAAAGACGGUCUUGCUGUCACUUAUAGAUGGAUCCGCGCUGCAUUAGCUAGUUGGUAAGGUAACGGCUUACCAAGGCAACGAUGCAUAGCCGACCUGAGAGGGUGAUCGGCCACACUGGAACUGAGACACGGUCCAGACUCCUACGGGAGGCAGCAGUAGGGAAUCUUCCGCAAUGGGCGAAAGCCUGACGGAGCAACGCCGCGUGAGUGAUGAAGGUCUUCGGAUCGUAAAACUCUGUUAUUAGGGAAGAACAUACGUGUAAGUAACUGUGCACAUCUUGACGGUACCUAAUCAGAAAGCCACGGCUAACUACGUGCCAGCAGCCGCGGUAAUACGUAGGUGGCAAGCGUUAUCCGGAAUUAUUGGGCGUAAAGCGCGCGUAGGCGGUUUUUUAGUCUGAUGUGAAAGCCCACGGCUCAACCGUGGAGGGUCAUUGGAAACUGGAAAACUUGAGUGCAGAAGAGGAAAGUGGAAUUCCAUGUGUAGCGGUGAAAUGCGCAGAGAUAUGGAGGAACACCAGUGGCGAAGGCGACUUUCUGGUCUGUAACUGACGCUGAUGUGCGAAAGCGUGGGGAUCAAACAGGAUUAGAUACCCUGGUAGUCCACGCCGUAAACGAUGAGUGCUAAGUGUUAGGGGGUUUCCGCCCCUUAGUGCUGCAGCUAACGCAUUAAGCACUCCGCCUGGGGAGUACGACCGCAAGGUUGAAACUCAAAGGAAUUGACGGGGACCCGCACAAGCGGUGGAGCAUGUGGUUUAAUUCGAAGCAACGCGAAGAACCUUACCAAAUCUUGACAUCCUUUGACAACUCUAGAGAUAGAGCCUUCCCCUUCGGGGGACAAAGUGACAGGUGGUGCAUGGUUGUCGUCAGCUCGUGUCGUGAGAUGUUGGGUUAAGUCCCGCAACGAGCGCAACCCUUAAGCUUAGUUGCCAUCAUUAAGUUGGGCACUCUAAGUUGACUGCCGGUGACAAACCGGAGGAAGGUGGGGAUGACGUCAAAUCAUCAUGCCCCUUAUGAUUUGGGCUACACACGUGCUACAAUGGACAAUACAAAGGGCAGCGAAACCGCGAGGUCAAGCAAAUCCCAUAAAGUUGUUCUCAGUUCGGAUUGUAGUCUGCAACUCGACUACAUGAAGCUGGAAUCGCUAGUAAUCGUAGAUCAGCAUGCUACGGUGAAUACGUUCCCGGGUCU